GACGAACGCUGGCGGCGCGCUUAACACAUGCAAGUCGAACGGAAAGGCCUGCUUUCCCUUGUGGAUUGCGGGUACUCGAGUGGCGAACGGGUGAGUAACACGUGAGUGAUCUGCCCCCAACUUGGGUAUAAGCCUGGGAAACUGGGUCUAAUUCCCGAUAGGACUGCAGGGUGGUGCCUGUGGUGGAAAACGAUUUUCUAGUGGUUGGGGAUGAGCUCGCGGCCUAUCAGCUUGUUGGUGGGGUAAUGGCCUACCAAGUCGGCGACGGGUAGCCGGCCUGAGAGGGUGGACGGCCACAUUGGGACUGAGAUACGGCCCAGACUCCUACGGGAGGCAGCAGUGGGGAAUAUUGCACAAUGGGCGGAAGCCUGAUGCAGCGACGCCGCGUGGGGGAUGACGGGCUUCGGGUUGUAAACUCCUUUCGACCGCGAGGAAGCCACCUGGUUGGAAGGGUGGUGACGGUAGUGGUAGAAGAAGCACCGGCUAACUACGUG
rnacentral:rRNA from 1 species